UGGUGACAAUGGCAAGGAGGUCACACCUGUUCCCAUGCCGAACACAGAAGUUAAGCUCCUUAGCGCCGAUGGUAGUCGGACUUACGUUCC
rnacentral:rRNA from 1 species